rnacentral:tRNA from 1 species
UUGAUCUUCUAUUGCCCAUCUAGCACCAAUAAAAUUAAGUUUGUCAUUGAUAACCUGUACUCGCAUUACUAUGAUUG